GACGAACGCUGGCGGCGUGCUUAACACAUGCAAGUCGAACGGAAAGGCCCUGCUUUUGUGGGGUGCUCGAGUGGCGAACGGGUGCGUAACACGUGAGUAACCUGCCCUUGACUUUGGGAUAACUUCAGGAAACUGGGGCUAAUACCGGAUAGGAGCUCCUGCUGCAUGGUGGGGGUUGGAAAGUUUCGGCGGUUGGGGAUGGACUCGCGGCUUAUCAGCUUGUUGGUGGGGUAGUGGCUUACCAAGGCUUUGACGGGUAGCCGGCCUGAGAGGGUGACCGGCCACAUUGGGACUGAGAUACGGCCCAGACUCCUACGUGAGGCAGCAGUGGGGAAUAUUGCACAAUGGGCGGAAGCCUGAGGCAGCAACGCCGCGUGCGGGAUGACGUCCUUCGGGUUGUAAACCGCUUUCGCCUGUGACGAAGCGUGAGUGACGGUAAUGGGUAAAGAAGCACCGGCUAACUACGUG
rnacentral:rRNA from 1 species